rnacentral:rRNA from 1 species
GUGCCAGCAGCCGCGGUAAGACGUAGGGGGCGAGCGUUGUCCGGAGUUACUGAGCGUAAAGGGCCCGCAGACAAAAAAAUGCGUUUGGUGUGACAACUCGUGGCUUCACUGCGAGAGGAUACCAAAGACGGCCGUUCUUGAAAACCAGAGAGGGACCUGGAAGUCCGGGUGGAGCGAUGAAAUGCGUAGAGAUCCAAAGGAACACCGAAAGCGAAGGCAGGAUCCUGACUAGUACCUAACGCUCGUGGGCGAAAGCUAGGAGAGCGAACGGGAUUAGAUACCCCGGUAGUCC